rnacentral:rRNA from 1 species
UACGUAGGGUGCGAGCGUUAAUCGGAAUUACUGGGCGUAAAGGGUGCGCAGGCGGCGUCGCAAGUCAGGCGUGAAAUCCCCGGGCUUAACCUGGGAAUGGCAUUUGGGACUGCAAGGCUGGAGUUUGGCAGAGGAGACUGGAAUUCCCGGUGUAGCAGUGAAAUGCGUAGAUAUCGGGAGGAAUACCGAUGGCGAAGGCAGGUCUCUGGGCUAUAACUGACGCUCAUGCACGAAAGCGUGGGGAGCAAACAGG